rnacentral:lncRNA from 1 species
CCCUCAUCUUUCCCAAAGACUAUAACUGCAUAAAAUCAAAGUUCAACAAUCUACUACUACUCAUUUACUUCAAAGUUGUUUCUAGGCAUGGUUAUCCUCUUUUAGGUAAUCCAAAUAGCUUUAUGAUCAUCAUUUAACAGGGAAAACGUAGAGAGCGACUACCUUUUUGUGAUCACCAGAUGCGUGAAGUUCAAUAUCAUGCUCAAGGUAGAUACCGUUCAUGGAAUGAUAAAGUUGUUUGAAAUGUAGUAUUUGAGGAGUCCGUGAACAUAUUAUUAGGAUAUAUUGUGUAUAUCUUUUGUGUAUCUUUUUAUUAUUGGUAGAAUAUUCUUUCAUUAUUGUACAAAGGAGUCCGUGAACAUAUCACUUCUGUGGCAGCUCUGAGAUCAAUAGUGCCACCACUCAAAGCCCGCCUCACUAGGAUAGCAUCCCUUCCAGCUGGAUCAUGCAUCCAAAGCAAGACUGC